rnacentral:lncRNA from 1 species
AAAAAAAAAAAUUAAUUUUUUUUUCGAAUUAUAAUAUUUUGAAAUUUAAACUCUAAACCUUAAACCCUAAAACUCAACUCUAAACCCUAAACCAUCAAUCAUAAACCUUUUUUUUUUAAAUACAAACCCUAAACCCUAAACCAUCAAUCCUAAACCCUAUUUUUUUUUUAAAAUACGAACCCUAAACCCUGAAACAUCAACUCUAAACCCUAAACCCCGAAAUAUCAACCCUAAACCCUAAACUUUCAACUCUAAACCUUAAAACAUCAACUCUAAACCUAAACCCUAAACUUCAACUCUAAACCCUAAACCAUCAUACUAAACCCUAAACUAUCAACAUUAAACCCUAAACCCUCUAAACCCUAAAAAUUAACCCAAAACCCUAAAACAUCAACUCUAAACCCUAAACCCUAAACCUUCAACUCUAAACCCUAAACUCUAAACCCUAAAUCCUAAACCCUAAACUCUAAACCCUAAAACCCUAGAGUUGAUGUUUUAGGGUUUAGAUUUGAAGGUUUAGGGUUUUAGGGUUUAGGGUUUACGUUUAGGAUUUAGAGUUGAUGUUUUAGGGUUUAGAUAUGAAGGUUUAGGGUUUUGGGGUUCGAAUUUCAAAAAAUAUAGGGUUUAGGGUUUACGUUUAGGGUUUAGAGUUGAUGUUUUAGGGUUUAGAUUUGAAGAUUUAGAUUUUAGGGUUUAGAGUUGAUGUUUCGGGGUUUACGCUUUAGACUUGAUGUUUCAUGGUUUAGGGUUUAGAGUUGAUGAUUUAGGGUUUAGAGUUGAUGAUUUAUGGUUUAAAGUUGAUGUUUUAAGUUUAGAUUUAGGGUUUAAGGUUUAUGUUUAGGAUUUAGAGUUGAUGUUUUAGGGUUUAGAUUUAAAGGUUUAGGGUUUAGAGUUUAGGGUUUAGAGUUGAUGUUUCAGGGUUUAGGGUUGAUGUUUCAGGGUUUAGGGUUGAUGUUUGAUGUUUUAGGGUUUAGAGUUGAUGAUUUAGGGUUUAGAGAAGAUGUUUUAAGUUUAGAUUAGUUAACAAUAUGUUUUUUUGUCAAAGUUAAUCAAAAGGUUAUAAAUGUCUUUUACUCUUCAUUAAAGAUGAUGGUAAAAGUGGUUUGUUUAGUUAACAAUAUGUUUUUUUUUUGUCAAAGUUAAUCAAAAGGUUAUAAAUGUCUUUUAC